rnacentral:tRNA from 1 species
GGUGGCUCAGUAGUAGAGCAUCUAUUUGACAUACAGAGGUCCCCCGGUUCAAUCCCUGGUAUCUCCA